GAGCGGGAAAGCGAACAAGGUUCAUGCAUUUGAAGUAGCGGGAAAGCGAACAAACACAAAAAGAUUGGCUAGAACGGUCAGAGAUCAUAUGGCGAGGCAUUUCCGAAUUCGCUUGCAUUUGCAAUGCCGACCAGAACCAUUGAGUUCUCAGCUGUAUGAUUUCAGUAACCUCUCCAGAAUUGAAGCAUAAGAGUCCGGUGCAGCAUCCGGUGCGAUAAACCUGAACUGGAAAUCUACACGGCUUACUGAGAAAUGCAAAUCUUCAGGCCUUAGGACUGGUCAAUGUUCAUAGGCUUACCCUUUGCUUUUCUGCUAUCAAAGCCGGUGAUUGUACUGAACAACAUUAGUCAAUCUUUGCCUUUAACAUCAUAUCAUGCUUGAUCCUAUCGAGCUAGAACCCGCACUGCAUCCUAAGUAUGAUGAUCAUAGUGUAGCUACACUCAAAAGUUGCGCAAGAAUCUGAAAACUUAGAAAAGAAAUUGCUCCUCUCUUUGGACAAGAGCCGCCAAAUGAGAUAAUGAUGCUUGAGUAUUCGAUACAAGCAUAUUUCCAGCAGUAUGGCGUGUGCAUUUACAACAGCAAAGCAAAGAUAAGGGAGUACAACAAAGCC